CGCCACCAGCUCACCAUGGAUGAUGAUAUCGCUGCACUUGUCGACAAAGGCUCCGGCAUGUGCAAGGCCAGCUUCGCGGGCGACGAUGCUCCCCGGACCGUCUUCCCCUCUAUCGUGGGGUGCCCCAGGCACCAGGGCGUGAUGGUGGGCAUGGGUCAGAAGGACUCCUACGUGGGUGAGGAGGCCCAGAGCAAGAGAGGCAUCCUGACCCUGAAGUAUCCCAUCGAGCAUGGCAUUGUCACCAACUGGGACGACAUGGAGAAGAUCUGGCACCACACUUUUUACAACGAGCUGCAUGUGGCUCCUGAGGAGCACCCCGUGCUGCUUACUGAGGUCCCCCUGAACCCCAAGGCCAACCGUGAGAAGAUGACCCAGAUCAUGUUUGAGACCUUCAACACCCCAGCCAUGUAUGUGGCCAUUCCAGGCUGUGCUUUCCUUGUACGCCUCUGGCCAUACCACUGGCAUCGUGAUGGACUCCGGUGACGGGGUCACCCACACUGUGCCCAUCUAUGAGGGUAUGUCCUCCCCCACGCCAUCCUGCGUCUGGACCUGGCUGUCCGGGACCUGACUGACUACCUCAUGAAGAUCCUCACCGAGCGCGGCUACAGCUUCACCACCACAGCUGAGCGGGAAAUCAUGUGUGACAUCAAGGAGAAGCUGUGCUACGUCGCCCUGGACUUCGAGCAGGAGAUGGCCAUGGCGGCCUCCAGCUCCUCCCUGGAGAAGAGCUAUGAGCUGCCCAAUGGUCAGGUCAUCACCAUCGGCAACGAGCGGUUCCGCUGCCCUGAGGCACUCUUCCAGCCUUCUUUCCUGGGCAUGGAAUCUUGUGGCAUCCACGAAACUACCUUUAACUCCAUCAUGAAAUGUGACGUGGACAUCCGCAAAGACCUGUAUGCCAACACAGUGCUGUCUGGUGGUACCACCAUGUACCCUGGCAUCGCUGACAGGAUGCAGAAGGAGAUCACCGCCCUGGCACCCAGCACAAUGAAGAUCAAGAUCAUUGCUCCUCCCGAGCGCAAGUACUCUGUGUGGAUCGCUGGCUCCAUCCUGGCCUCGCUGUCCACCUUCCAGCAGAUGUGGAUCAGCAAGCAGGAGUAUGAUGAGUCCGGCCCCUCCGUCGUCCACUGCAAAUGCUUCUAGGCGGACUGUGACUUAGUUGCGUUACACCCUUUCUUGACAAAACCUAACUUGCGCAGAAAACAAGAUGAGAUUGGCAUGGCUUUA